rnacentral:rRNA from 1 species
AUUGAACGCUGGCGGCAGGCCUAACACAUGCAAGUCGAGCGAGCGGCGGACGGGUGAGUAAUGUCUGGGAAACUGCCUGAUGGCGGGGGAUAACUACUGGAAACGGUAGCUAAUACCGCAUACCAUCAGAUGUGCCCAGAUGGGCUUAGCUAGUGGGUGGGGUAACGGCACACCUAGGCGACGAUCCCGAGCUGGUCUGAGAGGGUGACCAGCCACACUGGAACUGAGACACGGUCCAGACUCCUACGGGAGGCAGCAGUGGGGAAUAUUGCACAAUGGGCGCAAGCCUGAUGCAGCCAUGCCGCGUGUGUGAAGAAGGCCUUCGGGUUGUAAAGCACUUUCAGCAGGGAGGCGUUACCCGCAGAGGAAGCACCGGCUAACUCCGUGCCAGCAGCCGCGGUAAUUC